CCUACGGGUGGCAGCAGUGAGGAAUAUUGGUCAAUGGGCGCGAGCCUGAACCAGCCAAGUAGCGUGAAGGAUGAAUGCCCUCCGGGUUGUAAACUUCUUUUAUAAGGGAAUAAAGUGCGGCACGUGUGCCUUUUUGUAUGUACUUUAUGAAUAAGGAUCGGCUAACUCCGUGCCAGCAGCCGCGGUAAUACGGAGGGUCCGAGCGUUAUCCGGAUUUAAUGGGUUUAAAGGGAGCGUAGAUGGGUUGUUAAGUCAGUUGUGAAAGUUCGCGGCUCAACCGCAAAAUUGCAAUUGAUACUGGCAGCCUUGAGUACAGGUGAGGUAGGCGGAAUUCGUGGUGUAGCGGUGAAAUGCGUAGAUAGCACGAAGAACUCCGAUUGCGAAGGCAGCUUACUAAACGGCAACUGACAUUGAGGCUCGAAAGUGUGGGUAUCAAACAGGAUUAGAUACCCGGGUAGUC
rnacentral:rRNA from 1 species